rnacentral:rRNA from 1 species
CCAGACUCCUACGGGAGGCAGCAGUGAGGAAUAUUGGUCAAUGGUCGGGAGACUGAACCAGCCAAGCCGCGUGAGGGACGACGGUCCUAUGGAUUGUAAACCUCUUUUGUCGGGGAACAAAGGCGCCCACGGGUGGGCGGAUGAGUGUACCCGAAGAAAAAGCAUCGGCUAACUCCGUGCCAGCAGCCGCGGUAAUACGGAGGAUGCGAGCGUUAUCCGGAUUUAUUGGGUUUAAAGGGUGCGCAGGCGGAGGUGCAAGUCAGCGGUCAAAUUGCGGGGCUCAACCCCGUACUGCCGUUGAAACUGCAUCCCUUGAGUGCGCGAGAAGUAUGCGGAAUGCGUGGUGUAGCGGUGAAAUGCAUAGAUAUCACGCAGAACUCCGAUUGCGAAGGCAUCUCACGAAUCCGCGAUUGACGCUGAUGCACGAAAGCGUGGGUAUCAAACAGGAUUAGAUACCCGUGUA